rnacentral:rRNA from 1 species
GCGGAAAUAGAGAGUUUCUGUUGGUUGCUGAUAUUUAAACGAGGCUGCUUGCAGCCGAAGUGAGUGAUACCCUGCUUCCAGGAAAAGCCACUAAGCUUCAGCUACACACGACCGUACCGCAAACCGACACUGGUGCGCGAGAUGAGUAUUCUAAAGCGCUUGAGAGAACUCAGGAGAAGGAACUCGGCAAAUUGACACCGUAACUUCGGAAGAAGGUGUGCCUUUAGUAGGUGAAGUCCCUCGCGGAUGGAGCCCAAUGAGGUUGCAAAAAAUCGGUGGCUGCGACUGUUUAUUAAAAACACAGCACUCUGCAAACACGAAAGUGGACGUAUAGGGUGUGACGCCUGCCCGGUGCUGGAAGAUUAAAUGAUGGGGUGCAAGCUCUUGAUUGAAGUCCCAGUAAACGGCGGCCGUAACGAUAACGGUCCUAAGGUAGCGAAAUUCCUUGUCGGGUAAGUUCCGACCUGCACGAAUGGCGUAACGAUGGCCACACUGUCUCCUCCUGAGACUCAGCGAAGUUGAAAUGUUUGUGAUGAUGCAAUCUCCCCGCGGAAAGACGGAAAGACCCCAUGAACCUUUACUGUAGCUUUGUAUUGGACUUUGAACAGAUCUGUGUAGGAUAGGUGGGAGGCUUUGAAGCAGGGUCGCUAGAUCUUGUGGAGCCAACGUUGAAAUACCACCCUGGUGUGUUUGAGGUUCUAACCUAGGUCCAUUAUCUGGAUCGGGGACAGUGCAUGGUAGGCAGAUUGACUGGGGCGGUCUCCUCCCAAAGUGUAACGGAGGAGUUCGAAGGUACGCUAGGUACGGUCGGACAUCGUGCUAAUAGUGCAAUGGCAUAAGCGUGCUUAACUGCGAGACUGACAAGUCGAGCAGAUGCGAAAGCAGGACAUAGUGAUCCGGUGGUUCUGUAUGGAAGGGCCAUCGCUCAACGGAUAAAAGGUACUCUGGGGAUAACAGGCUGAUACCGCCCAAGAGUUCAUAUCGACGGCGGUGUUUGGCACCUCGAUGUCGGCUCAUCUCAUCCUGGGGCUGUAGCCGGUCCCAAGGGUAUGGCUGUUCGCCAUUUAAAGAGGUACGUGAGCUGGGUUUAAAACGUCGUGAGACAGUUUGGUCCCUAUCUUCCGUGGGCGCUGCAGAUUUGAGGAAGCCUGCUCCUAGUACGAGAGGACCGGAGUGGACACACCUCUGGUGUAUCGGUUGUCACGCCAGUGGCAUUGCCGAGUAGCUAAGUGUGGAAGAGAUAACCGCUGAAAGCAUCUAAGCGGGAAACUCGUUUCAAGAUGAGAUCUGCCGGGGCCUUGAGCCCCCUGAAGAGUCGUUCAAGACCAGGACGUUGAUAGGUCGGGUGUGGAAGCGCAGUAAUGCGUUAAGCUAACCGAUACUAAUUGCUCGUGCGACUUGACCAA